UACAUGUGGGGCAAGCGUUGUUCGGAAUUACUGGGCAUAAAGGGUGCGUAGGUGGCUUGUUAAGUCAGGGGUGAAAUCCGGUGGCCCAACCAUCGAACUGCCUUUGAUACUGGCGAGCUUGAGUGCGUGAGGGGUAGGGGGAACGAGCAGUGUAGCGGUGAAAUGCGUAGAUAUUGCUCGGAAGGCCGGAGCCGAAGGAGCCCUACUGGUGCGCAACUGACACUGAGGCACGAAAGCGUGGGGAGCAAACAGG
rnacentral:rRNA from 1 species